UACGGAGGGAGCUAGCGUUGUUCGGAAUUACUGGGCGUAAAGCGCGCGUAGGCGGCUUUGUAAGUUAGAGGUGAAAGCCCGGGGCUCAACCUGGGAAUUGCAUUCGAGACUGCAUUGCUGGAGUACGGAAGAGGAAGGCGGAAUUCCCGGUGUAGCGGUGAAAUGCGUAGAUAUUGGGAGGAACACCAGUGGCGAAGGCGGCUCACUGGACCGGUACUGACGCUGAGGCGCGAAAGCGUGGGGAGCAAACAGG
rnacentral:rRNA from 1 species